AUACGUAGGUGACAAGCGUUAUCCGGAUUUACUGGGCGUAAAGGGCGUGUAGGCGGUCUUGCAAGUCAGAAGUGAAAUUCCUGAGCUCAACUCGGGCGCUGCUUCUGAAACUGCAGGACUUGAGUGCUGGAGGGGAUAGCGGAAUUCCUAGUGGAGCGGUAAAAUGCGCAGAUAUUAGGAAGAACACCGGUGGCGAAGGCGGCUAUCUGGACAGUAACUGACGCUGAGGCGCGAAAGCGUGGGGAGCAAACAGGAUUAGUUACCCUGGUAGUCCACGCUGUAAACGAUGAAUACUAGGUGUGGGUGGGACUGACCCCAUCCGUGCCGCAGCUAACGCAAUGAGUAUUCCACCUGGGGAGUACGGCCGCAAGGCUGAAACUCAAAUGAAUUGACGGGG
rnacentral:rRNA from 1 species